GCCGCAAGAAAUUAUAUGAACUUCAUGAAUCAUUUUAGUAUAAUUGGAACAUGCAUGCUUUAAUGAUUUACGAACUUCUAAUAGUUGAAUAAAAUGGCUAACAGUAAGCAAUGGUAUAAUUUAACUGAACAUGGAGAUAUCUCACACGUGUAAUGAUACGUAACAUAUAGAUACAACUCUAACCUAGUUCCAUGAGUCGACUACAAAUGUCAAGGACCUCAGAAACACAGUUACAUCCCAAGCUUCAAGAUGAUCGUCGAUAAUAAUACACAUAGAUCUUUAUGCUAUAAAUAGAAGCAUAUUUUCGUAGAAGACGUUCCACUGUGUACCACUGUGAUCGAUCUGAUUCAUCUUGAUACCCAAUUCGAGGCAUGUGAAUUGAAGCUUCAUGGAAAGAUCCAAUGGAGAUACAUUAGUUUAAUGGAAUCAAAUGGAGAUAUAAUUUUAGAUAUGCAAACCGAGGCAAAAUAAUUCUCAGUUGACAGCACUCGGUGGCUGUGGCUGUCACUGAACAUCAGCAAUGUGAGAAUUCUGUAUCAUGUUCAAUAUAAUAGAAUGAUAAUUAGAGAAGAAUUUAUUAAAUAACAUGCAAAAUACUUGAUGUUCAAGGUUAAUCCAAACAUCUGUAGAAAACAUAUGCCAAUGAAAAACCAAACUAAGACCGCUUAUCUUGUUGCUUAAUACUUGCUGCUAAGCUUCAUCCUACUGCUUGUCCAAGACUUCAGUACUUCAGUAACUUAUAACCAGCUAGAUAAACUUUCAUGUUUUAGUUUGCUGGAUUAAGUAGACAAUUACAGCCAAUGCAAGAAAUUUGCUUCCACCUUGAAGUGUUGCAUAAAAGAAAAAAGCAGUGACACUAACCACCUACAGUUGUAUCUUUGCUAUUGGGAUGGACAAUCAGUAAGACAUCAAAAUCCAACUAAAUGAAACUUGUGGGAACUUAUACCAGAAUUCUGAGCCGCAGCAAAUGAAACCUUAUUUAGGCAACGCUCCAAGUCAAGAAUUGAGAUAUUGCUGCGGGGCACUUUACGCCUAGGAUUAUAUGAUUGCACAACAGCCAAAGCCACCCACUGAGGAGAAUCAUCUUCCAAGCAGUGUCUGUCAGUGUCCCCAUUAAUUCUUAUGAGAUGGAGAUCACCAAGAUGAAGGUCCCCAAAUUCAGAUGCCCGUUGAUAUGCAUCAGGGAUACUUGAAGACAGCUUGGCCAGUGCAUCAAACAUUCCUCCAUGGCCCCAAUUUCCAGAGUUAUCUACACAACUGAAUAUUAUAGUGGGCUCAGAUGGGCAAACUUUUGCUGGAUCUGUACAAUCUCCGACAACAAAAUGAAGAGAACCUGAAUCUGACAAUACAUCACCAUCCAAAGCUGGGCCAGGAUCUUUAACAGACAAUGAAUGGUAUCCAAGGGAUUCCCACUUAGACAACUUUUUCUCCUCAGCUUUCUUCCUUGCAGCCUCAAGUUUAAGAUGCUUAUCCUCGGGCAAGUUCCUUCUAUGUCCCAAAUCCAAGACUGGGUUGCCACUUGAUUGUGAUGCUUCCUCAAAUUUUCUAACCCAUGAUUGAUACGAGGCCUCAUCAAGACCGUGAUCAUAAUCAGCAAAAGCAGAAUUUCCCCCAAUGACAGCAUCAAUUUGAUCAAUUCGAUUAACCACAUAUUUCCUAUCUAUCUCUCCUAAUCUCUGAUCAUCACGCAUUGCAAUUACUUUCGCUGUCAUAGCAUUCAAUUCUGGCAUGUUCAGUUCAUCUGACUUUCCAGUACUGAUCUCAGAAGGAUCAAACAUAUGUAACCCAAAUAUGAUAGAUUUCAAAUCCAUGGUUUCAACUCCUGCUGUUUCUUUUCCUUUCUGUUGCACAAUAUCAUCUCCUACAACAUUAUGACUAAGCUGCAAUUUCCUCUCUGCUCUCCGCAUAACAACCUCUUCUACAGUACACAUUGUAACCAAGUUUAUGGACAAUACAUGAUUUAUUUGACCAAUCCGGUGAGCCCGCUGCAAAGCCUGCUUGUCAACCUGGGGAUUCCAAUCUUGCUCGUAGAAUAUAACCGUAUCAGCAGCCACAAGAUUUAAGCCAACUCCCCCAGCUCUUGUAGAUAUCAUAAAAACAAAGGCAGUAUUCUUGUCAAAUUCAGAAUUCAACUUCCCUAAUUGCCCACUAAAACUUCUUAUGGCAGCAAAACGUUCCUCAGCCCGAACUGAACCAUCAAGACGCUCAUAGGAAUACUUCCGUAACUCCAAAAAAUCCUGUAAAAUGUCAAGUGUAUGAGUCAUCUGAGCAAAGAGAAGGACACGAUGUCCAGAAUCAUGAAGCUUUUGAAGCAGCUGAUCCAAAAUUAAAAGCUUUCCACUAGCCUGAACUAGGUGUUCACCCUCUUCAAAAGGCUCAGGCUCAAUACCAGGAAAUAGGUAAGGAUGGCUACAUGCUUUUCGUAGUUGUAUUACAAUAUUCUGAAGAGAUUGAUUAUUAGAAGCUGCAGAUGACAAUGCCAGUAGUUUUGGAAGUUCCUUUCUCAAUAUUGAUGCGUAAACCCUCUUUUGCAGGCUGACAAGUGGAGCCAUCACGGUAAUCUCGGUAAGGGGUGGCAGCACAAGGUUUCCACACUCUAUAAGCUUAGAUUUUGUUCUUCGAAGCAUGAAGGCUGUCAUUAUGCAUUUUAAAUUCUUCAACUGCCUCUUGACCUCAGCUGCAUCAAGAUCUGAUGUAGGAUCUCCAGCUUCUUUGAAUGUGGAAAGGAACUGCUCAUGUGUCCCAAACACUGAAGGCAUGCAAAAAUGCAUCAAAGCCCAGAGUUCAGUGAGAUUAUUCUGUAUAGGAGUGCCAGUCAUCAAUAGGCGUCUUGGCAUGAGGAAGCACUCUUUGAGAAUGUUAUAUAGCACACUGGAAGGAUUUUUAAGUCUCUGAGCUUCAUCGAUUAUUGCAUAAUGCCAAGGAAUUUGAGAAAGAAAAUCUUGAUCCAUCAAUGCUACAUCAUAGGUUGUCAAGAGCACAUCAAAAGGCAACAAGGAACCAUCAGUUGAUGAGGGAUGCUCCUUUACAUGUUCAUACAAUGUCUUGCGUAGACUACGCCGGUGUUCUUUGUCACCUACAUACCUGAGGACCUUUAGUUUUGGAGUGAAUUUGGCCAUCUCUGAAACCCAACCAUCUGUAACACUUAGAGGACACAAUACCAAAAAUGGUCCAGGUGACAUCUGAUGAAUUUUCAAGUAACUUAAAAAGGAGAUAGCUUGCAGUGUUUUCCCCAAUCCCAUCUCAUCUCCGAGAAUAACAUUGACGCCGAGAAGAUAUCGCCGUAUAAGCCAUGAGACACCUUCCACUUGAUAAGGUUUCAGCGUCGCUGUAACUCCAAUUUCUGUAGCGUUUAUGGGGGCGUCGUGGGCGCGUGCGUCGGCGUCGACUAUAAGAGUAGCUGCUGCCAUUAGGCGCUGCUCGUAAUUCAUAUUUUUUCUGUACGGUUGAUCGGUUGUUGGCGGUUUGGAAAUUGAAGAGCAGUUGGGAGGGAACGCGAG
rnacentral:misc_RNA from 1 species